GAAUGUAAGGGCCAUCUGGCUGCAACUUCUUUCACCCCAUUGAUCACCAGGGUUGAUUUGGCUGAUGUAGGCUGGCUGGGGGCAGGUGUCCCCUUCCUCCCUCACUGCUCCAUGUGGGCUGCUCUGGAAGCAGUGUCCUGGGUCUAAGAGGACAACCAUCUCCACUAGAGGAGAAUGGGUCUUCUUUCAAGAGGAUACGAGUAGCUGUGCUUCCCUGCUAGAACCUCCAAACAAGCUCUCAAGGACAGGCUAUCAAAUGGUCUUAUGUGGUAAAAACAAUAAAUAAUGGUUCUCCUGGAACAUUUU
rnacentral:snRNA from 1 species